rnacentral:miRNA from 1 species
CCGGAAAAGAACACCCUCCUGCGGU